UACGAAGGGUGCAAGCGUUAUUCGGAAUCAUUGGGCGUAAAGGGUGUGUAGACGGUAUGUUAAGUCUGUUGUUAAAUGCCCCAGCUCAACUGGGGAUCUGCGGUGGAAACUAAUAUGCUAGAGGGUGGAAGAGAGAAGUGGAAUUCUCGGAGUAGCGGUAAAAUGCGUAGAUCUCGAGAGGAACACCAAUGGCGAAGGCAGCUUCUUGGUCCAUACCUGACGUUGAAACACGAAAGCGUGGGGAGCAAACAGGAUUAGAUACCCUGGUAGUCCACGCUGUAAACGAUGAUCACUAGACGUUAGUUCUGUUUAACAGAAUUGGUGUCGUAGCUAACGCGUUAAGUGAUCCGCCUGGGGAGUACGGUCGCAAGAUUAAA
rnacentral:rRNA from 1 species